rnacentral:rRNA from 1 species
AUUGAACGCUGGCGGCAGGCUUAACACAUGCAAGUCGAGCGAGCGGCGGACGGGUGAGUAAUGUAUGGGGAACUGCCCGAUAGAGGGGGAUAACUACUGGAAACGGUGGCUAAUACCGCAUACUAUCGGAUGAACCCAGAUGGGAUUAGCUAGUAGGUGGGGUAAAGGCUCACCUAGGCGACGAUCUCUAGCUGGUCUGAGAGGAUGACCAGCCACACUGGGACUUAGACACGGCCCAGACUCCUACGGGAGGCAGCAGGGGGGAAUAUUGCACAAUGGGCGCAAGCCUGAUUCAGCCAUGCCGCGUGUAUGAAGAAGGCCUUCGGGUUUUAAAGUACUUUCAGCGUGGAGGCGUUACCCGCAGAAGAAGCACCGGCUAACUCCGUGCCAGCAGCCGCGGUAAUUC